rnacentral:lncRNA from 1 species
AAAUUUAAAUUCAAAUAGUAAAAUAAAAAAAUAUAUAAGAAAAAACCGAAAAAUAAAAAUAGAAUUCUAGGUAUUUACACUACCCAAAUAAUAAAUAUGAACUAAAACAAAGUAAAAUAAAAAUAGAGAUAAAAUAUAUAAUAGCAACAAAGAAAAUUCAAGUUUAAACCUAAAGAUUUAAAGAUAACAAACUUCGCACAAAAAUU